CUGUCUCUAUCUGUGUAGGACUGAUAUAGUGAAUAUGAGUAUCUAUACCUCCUGCUGUAACGAUAUACCCUGCUCCUCCAUGUACUUCUGUAGAAGCCCCGAUAAUCAUAUUAGGACUCACAUCAUCCAUCGUAUCAGGGUUACCUGCUCUACCUACACCUACUAUCUUACCAUCUUUAAUACCGAUAUCUCCUUUCACGAUACCCCAGUGAUCAAUGAUAAUAGCUCCUGUAAUCACCAUAUCUAACACGCCUUCAUGACUAAGAUGAUUAGAAGAUUGCAUCAUUCCAUCACGUACAG
rnacentral:sRNA from 1 species